UACGAAGGGGGCUAGCGUUGUUCGGAAUUACUGGGCGUAAAGCGCGCGCAGGCGGCUCUUCAAGACAGGUGUGAAAUCCCCGGGCUUAACCUGGGAACUGCAUUUGUGACUGCAUAGCUAGAGUACGGUAGAGGGGGAUGGAAUUCCGCGUGUAGCAGUGAAAUGCGUAGAUAUGCGGAGGAACACCGAUGGCGAAGGCAAUCCCCUGGACCUGUACUGACGCUCAUGCACGAAAGCGUGGGGAGCAAACAGG
rnacentral:rRNA from 1 species